CAUGUCUACCAAACACUUUUUCAUCAUUUCUGUCUUGAUUCCAUCUCUCAUUAGAGAAUAUGUUUUUAAGCUCCUCAGCAAUGUAAAGUAUUAACAUCUCAUUGCUAUGUUAUUGUUCGCUGGUUGUUUAUAUAAUGUUAUGUAUUAGUCUGUCCUUGUAAUUUAUUUGAAGCUUGUUUUGAUCAAGGUGUAACCCAGAGUAAAUAGUGUCUCAGUGAGCUAUUUUCAAAUAUUUGCACAGCUAACUUGACACUCUGGUGUCUUAAGGAUCAUAUGGUCAUGCAAGGAAACUUUUUUUUUUUUUUUUUUUUAAACACCAGGGAUGUUUUUGUUUUUCUGUGUAUAGAAAAAAGCCUAAAUUAAUAGUACAUAUUAGAGCCAUUAUCUGACAUGACUCCUAAGUGGGAUCAGCAUUAUGCAACUUAUUUUCAACGGAAAACUUAAUAAUUUUCUGUAAAUGUGCUCGAUCUGAAAGUCUGCCCCUUCUCAUGGUCAACUGACAGUGCCGUCACAUGUUUUGUCUAAUCUCAGCGUUCUCUAAACAGGCCCACACUCGACUUCAUUGUGCACCUAUUUAGAAAUCACAUUUCAUUUCAAAUUACAGAAAAUUCAGCAUACAAAUUGGAUUACAUUUGUCCUUUCCAUUAAAUAAUGACUUAAUAAUACCCUAAUUAUUUUCUUUUCAUAUAGAAAAGCCACUUGAUCUGAAAGAGACUAAUGGAGAAUCUCAGAGGUUUUGGUGUGCUCCUUACAGGUGCCGUAAUUGCGCAUAAUGAUAUGAAGGUGAAUCAGGAGCAACUAUAGAUUGCAGUGUGUACUCUCUGAUCCUUCGCACAAGAGUCUCGAACAACGGCCAUCAUGAUAGACCUGAGCCAUCUGAGUGAGGAGGAGCAGGAGAUGAUCAUGACUGUUUUAAAGAGGGAUGCUGAGUUGAAGAAAGCCGAGGAGGAACGAAUCAAACAGCUGCAGAAAGUCGUCCCAGAGGAAGACAAACGCAAGUAUUUGUCAGGAGAAUGGUUCUACGAGGUGAAGUCUCAGAGACACCAGGACAAGAUUCAUGGCUCUGAUAUCAUAAUAGCAUCAAUGAAGCAAAGGAAACCAUCAGUUGUUGAGUAUUUAACCAAGUCAUGGGGCGGCAGAUCCAGAAGCAUCAGCAGAAAGGAUAGUGAUGGCAACAUGACAUCACCCAAAAAAACACAAACUACUGAGUCCUCAGAGCAGCUAAAGGAGAGGGAAAAUGGUGACACAUUAGAGGUCCAGCAAGAAAACCUAAACAUAGGCAUGAGAUCGCCAUCCAAGCCAAGACACAACCCAUUCAACAGUGUUCCAGUAGAGCUUGACUUUGAGGAGACUGAUAUCCACUUUACAUCAGGACCUGGACUCAGGAAAUCAUUAGACAGGGGCUCUGAUUCACAAGUAAAACCUCAGGAAGCAAGUAACAGUGAAGGUAAUAGUGAGGUCUCAAACACCACACAAAACGGACCUCCUGGUCAAAAGCCUGUGCCAAAGAAGAGGACCAAAAUCAACAAACCCCAGAGCUCUAUCUCAGACAGCGCCAGCUCUGUGUCCAGCCAGAGUGUGUCCACCACAGCAGGCUCAGGUAUCAGGUCUCCACCACCAAGAAGUAUCCUCAAACACAGCUCAAAUGAGCCCACUCUCAAGAGCCAACUGCGCCAACCAGUGGUAUCCCUAAGCUCUGUUUGCAAAAACAGCAUUCAAGAGAGGGAUCCUGAAGAAUCUAGACUUUCUUUGGGAAGUACAGAGGAAUCAAAUAGCAAAAUUGAAAACAAAGAGCCAUUUAGCUCCCCUUCACCACUGAAGUUGCCAAAGUCACGUUUACCAGUGAGAGCCUCAUCGCAACUGAUAAACCCUCCUCUGCGCUUACAAGAGAGGCCAAAGAUACAACCACGUCUAAGUCUGAACUCUAUCACAAGAGCAGAUGAUGGCAAAAAAGUAGAAGAACUUCUAAAACAAAGAACAGAAACAAAUAGUUGUCUUCCUCAGUCACCAAGUAUGGAAUUAAAGGGCCAAAACAUUUCUGGUGAAAUUUAUCUUCCUCGUGAGAAUGCAAUGUUUGCAUUGACUGACAACACUAAAAAGCCCCUGGAUGAGUUGAGGGACACUGCCCCUCAACCUACACAGUACAAAUCUGAGAAUGUGGAAAAUCAUAUGGCUCAGUUUCCAAAAUUGGAAGCGACAAGAACUGAAGAAAAUAUAAAGAAAACUGCUGUUGGUCAACAAUUUCCCAGAUCCCUCAACAUAACAGAUACAUUCAAUAAGACAGAUGCCUCUUCUGACUGUGAGACUAAACACAGCCCCCUUGUCUUCAACAUAAAACAAAAGACUAAUAACUCAAAACAGGAAAAUGACAAUCUGGAAGUCAUGACAGAUGAACACAUUCAGACACCUACUGAUGAACAAGGAGAUUCCAUUGCCAAAGUUCUUGAGUGGUUUAGCAGGAGCUCAGACAGCAGUGAUAGGCUUGAUAUAGAGAGCAAUGUCCAGGAGGACAUGGAGGAGGACACCAAGAUCGAUGACAUAGACUUUGAAGAUGUGGUUGAUCAGAGAUCCAAACCAAGGGAUAAUGUGUACUUGAUCAUACCACGCCAGAGUGAAGAGGUUCCAUCAGAAGUGAAUACGCUAUUUCUACAACAGACUGAUUGGGGAAAGGAACAGAAUGUCAAUGAGCCUACCCAGAACAUUCCAAAAGAACGAAGAAGAUCUGAAUCUGCCUCUCAUAAAGAACCUCUCAGUAAGAAGGCUUCAAAUGACUCUUCUCUUGUUGCAAACAAUGUCUCUCCAGAGAUCCCAGAGGUGAAUAUUUCUGGGAAAAUAAGUCAAAAUGAGAACAAAACAGAAUCUUUUAUCAAGAGAGAGGAAGUGACCAAAGUCAAACUUGAAAGCACUGACAUCAAGCAGACUCAGCAUCAGCCAAAAGAAAGACCAGGUGCUGAAGAGAACCAGCGACCAAAAAUUGCCAAUUUGAGAUCAUUCUGGGAGAAAGAAAACAUUGGUCCAAAGAUUUUGAUCAGCAAAUCUAGUGUGCCUGGUAAAACCGAAAAAUGCAUCCCCAGUGAUGUUAGCAGAAAGCAGACUGAACGUGUAGAGGACCAACAGAGAAGUGAACAGAGCUCGAAAGUAACAUCUCCAAAACAUCAGAAAAAAGACACAGUUGUGGAAGAUUUAGACCUUGAGCUUGUAGGGAGUGCAAACACCAUCUAUAAACCCCAAGUACCCAUUGUAACAGAUGAAUCAAAACCACCAUUGAUAUAUGCUAAUCAGAAGGUUGACCAAAUACUUGCAAGCUCUCUCUUAGACAAAGAAGUUACUCUUCCACGUUUAAAAUCACCUUCACCAUCACUUGACAGUGGAUCCUUGCAAGCGGGUCAAAAUGAUGAUAGCAUGGGAGGCACCGUUAGCACAUACAGUAGUGAUGCAGAUCACUCCUCUCCAAAAGAAUUAGAGGCAAAAUCAAGAACUGCACCAAGAACAAAUCAAGUGCCUCUUGUUAAGCAGAAUUCCCAGCAAGAGAACAUGGCAGAGAGGAUCAAGCAACUCAAGUCCUUCUGGGAGAAAGAAUCUAAAACCUCAGCAGCAGCUCAAAUCAGAUCGACUGCUACUCCCCGACUUAACCAAAGAUUUACAAAGUCUGAGUUUGAUCUCAGAACAAUAGGUACAGAGUAUGAUGAUGAGGAUGAUGAUGUUGAGGACAGUACUUCGGCCAGAGGUAGACUGUCUCCCAAUUUCUCUGUGCAACCUCUACGGAAGGAUAAGCCAGUUGUGAUGGAUGGUAUGAGCACUUUACAGUUUAAGAACCUUCGUGACUUCUGGGGAGGAUCACCUACAAAAUCUGGACGAAGGUCACCGGUCCUUGAGAGUGGAAUUCAGAGAUCCUUAAGUCCACAAAGUCCAAAUGAGAAAGCCAAUGUCAAAGACUUUGUUAACGAGAGCCAGAAUGGUAAAACAUCCUCACCAGCCAAAACUAGAGCAUUACAGUCUCCCUCAAAGAAGAGGAUUAUGUCAAGACAAGAAUCUGAAUCAAAAACCAAUCAUAGGGUCUCAGGCGAAGCAAUAUCCCAUGAAGUGUCUCAUUCUCUUCAGGCACAGAAAAGCUCUCAGCCUGCUUCAAAAUCCACAAUGGUACCUAAACCUCAGGCUGGUCAAGAGUCACAACCUCAACAGGGUAGAAGAAGCAGCAAAGCCAGUCUAAAUGGAAAAUCAAAUACCAUGCGACGUGCCACCAGCAUGUUUUCAGUGAACAGUGCGUUUGAGGAGCAAAGCCAGGACUUGCCUCUUCAGUCCAAGAAGACUCAGGAUCCCAAUAUGCAACAGGUCAAGAAAACAGCCAGAAGCUAGCAUUACACAGUCCAGGAAAACUCAAGAAGCUAGCUAUACUAUGCCAAAAACAUCCCCAGAAAUCUCUUGGAAAGACAGAGACAAAAAUACUCAGAGAAGACCAUCACGUACCUCAGAGGAUUCCGACUCUCAACCUCUUGCUAGAUCUUUCAUUCCACGGGACUACCAACAUUACCUUGGGAUUACAGAAGACAGAAGUAUGUACACUCCACCUCCAGUUACAGAGCAGGUUGAUAAUUUUAUCUGCACUUCAUUUACGUCAUCUCCAGAGACAAACCACAGCUAUAAGUGUUCCCCAGUGAAAACCAGUACUCCACUACAGGGUUCCCCCGACCUCCAAACCAGGAGAGGGAGCCUGGGACGCCACUCAACCACACAAACUGAUGGAAAUGCCACUAAGGGGAAUUCAAACCGUGAAAACGAGAGUCCCAUUCAGAAAGCUUUGAGACGAGCUUCAUCUAGACCGGUGUACCAUAAGAGCAUGGAAGACAUCAGCAUUCUUCCUAGACAAGACCAAAAACUCAAACAAACAAAUGACUACAUGGAGGGCGACUAUGAUGGCA